rnacentral:misc_RNA from 1 species
UAUACAACAGGUUACGGAGGAAACCCAAAGGUUAAGAAGUAAGCAGAAGCAAUUACAUUCUACAGAUGCCAAAGACGAUGGUAUUAUGAUUUGGGGGAUAAAUACAGAGGUGGGGCGAGAAACUGAACCCUAUAACUUCUAAAAUAAGCCAACCUCCAUUGAAACCUAUCUGAAGUUAGGUUCAUAGGGCGACAUAAAAUUAUGUUAUCAUUAAGACAUCUUUUCUAUUCCUUUAUGCCCAUUAGGCUGGGAGUUCCAGCAGCAGCCCCUUGCAGAUCUGAUAAGGAGAAAGACCUCCAUGGACUAAGCUUCUGGUCAGGAGGUGAUGAUGAGGGCUCAAUGCUAUAUCUUCUUGGUUGUGGAGGCAGAGGGGGAAGAGAGAAAUGAGGUGACGAUGCAUUUGAGUUCAAGGACUCCGAACUAUUAUUGCUCUCAGAGCAGCUGGAGGUUGCACCAAGAGCUAAUGAGCUUCUAGAGCUUAUUGGUCUCUUGUAUAACCCACAGCUAUUAUUUCUUGGGAAGUGAUUCCGAUUCUUGCCAAAGAAAUUGCUAUGAGCAAGCAGGUUCUUGCGUUUUCUAGAGUAUGCAUUCUCCGCCUUGACCAUAUCUUUAAGCGAGGAACAUGAUACUGCAUCUGCUAGACUAGUAUAAGAUUUCGAUUUACCAGCAUAAAAACUUGAAAUGCCCCUCUUGAUCGGCAAAACCUCCUCCAAAGACUCCAAAUUAUCGAGAGCACCAGGUUUAAACGGACUCUGAACCUCCUCUCCAUCACCUUCUCCAGGGCAUCCAUUUGAUGAAGACCCUCCCGCCAGCGGUGAGUCAUCACUAUUCCUACCAAUAGAAGAAGACGACGAAGAAGAAGUCCGAUCAUCCUCAUCUUCCCGCUUCACCUGAACCAUACUUUCUCCGACGCCUAGAUCUGGCGAGUUAUAGAUCGGAACAAAAGUCAUUCCGUGCAUAAAUCCUGGCCGUUCGAUCUGAUGAUCAGGUGUACUAUUCCUCUCAAACGCAAUCGACAUAGCCUGCACUUUCGCUUUCACUUGUGCUGAGAAAAAAGCAGAUACAUAUGAAGAAACCUAGAGAGUUUAUGUAUUAUAUAUAUAAUAAUAAACCAGAAAGAAGAGAGAGAAAG